UUCUAUCACAGUUGACGACGACCUCUUGGGUGGCGUUGCACAGUGAUCCCAGACCGCCGCACAUGGGCACUCCGGUGACAAGUGAAUUUCCCCCGCAACAAGUAAUGGGUUGGAACUUUGGUUCUCAUGAUGGACACGCAAACAGCUAUUGAAAACUUCUGUGGUAGUGUCACAGCCGAUUGCGUAGUCGUACGUCCCCUAGUGGUAGCAAGAAACAAGGGUAGAGGGAAGCGUCUAAAAGGAGCACGGGAAAUUGCAAUGACUAUGAAGAAACGUGGUGACGGACAUGUGCUACAUGUGGACUGGCCAACGGCCAUGACAGCCGUAACUGUGCGUUACGUAAUAAGGAUGUGGAGUAGGAGUGUUGGGGUUUAGAGUGUAUGUAGUUCUUUGGUUUUCCUUUGUGUUUUUUUGGAUAUAAUAAUGUACUAUUGGUAUGGCUACAUCCUCGUUUGAGGGUCCUCGUUUUUUUUGCACAAUUUAUUAAUAGAUUUUUGGUGUUUGGCUUUUUGUUGUGUAAUCAUGCCCAAUUCUAUGUGUGUGCUUGGGAUAUGGAAUGUUGGAAACAAUUUAUUAAUAGAUUUUUGGUGUUUGGCUU